CACUGCAAACCGACUCAGGUGGACGGGGUGAAUAUCCCAAGGCGCGUGAGAGAACCCUGGUUAAGGAACUCAGCAAAUUGACACCGUAACUUCGGGAGAAGGUGUGCCGCUGGCGGUUAGUGACUUCGCGUCACGAAGCUGUCGGUGGUCGCAGUGAAAUGGCGGUUGUUACUGUUUACUAAAAACACAGGACUCUGCGAAGUCGUAAGACGACGUAUAGGGUCUGAUGCCUGCCCGGUGCUGGAAGGUUAAGGGGAUAUGUCAGCGCAAGCGAAGCAUUGAACCGAAGCCCCAGUAAACGGCGGCCGUAACAAUAACGGUCCUAAGGUAGCGAAAUUCCUUGUCGGGUAAGUUCCGACCUGCACGAGGGCAUAACAACAUCCGCACUGUCUCGACCAGGGACUCAGCGAAAUUACAUUGGGGGUGAAGAUGCCCUCUACCCGCGGAAAGACGGAAAGACCCCAUGAACCUUUACUGCAACUUGGCAGUGAUUUUCGGGUUGUUCUGCGUAGGAUAGGUGGGAGGCUUUGAAGCCGGGCUUCCGGGUUCGGCAGAGCCAACGUUGAAAUACCACCCUGAAUAAUCUGGAAAUCUAACCUGCGCCCAUGAUCUGGGCGAGGGACACUGCCUGGUGGGCAGUUUGACUGGGGCGGUCGCCUCCUAAAUUGUAACGGAGGCGUGCGACGGUUCCCUCAGGCUGAUUGGAAACCAGCCGUAGAGUGCAAACGCAUAAGGGAGCUUUACUGCGAGACUGACAAGUCGAACAGUUGCGAAAGCAGGUGUUAGUGAUCCGGUGGUACCACAUGGAAGGGCCAUCGCUCAUCGGAUAAAAGGUACUCUGGGGAUAACAGGCUGAUCGCGCCUGAGAGUUCACAUCGGCGGCGCGGUUUGGCACCUCGUGUCGGCUCAUCGCAUCCUGGGGCUGGAGCAGGUCCCAAGGGUUUGGCUGUUCGCCAAUCAAAGCGGUACACGAGCUGGGUUUAAAACGUCGUGAGACAGUUUGGUCCCUAUCUUCCGUGGGCGCUGGACACUUGAGAGGAGCUAUCCAUAGUACGAGAGGACCUGGAUGGACGAACCUCUGGUGCUCCGGUUGUCACGCCAGUGGCAUAGCCGGGUAGCCAUGUUCGGAACAGAUAACCGCUGAAGGCAUAUAAGCGGGAAGCUGGCCUCAAGACUAGGUGUCCCUGACGCAAGUCACUAAAGGCCCCUCGAAGACUACGAGGUUGGUAGGCUCGGUGUGGAAGCGCUGCGAGGCGUGGAGCUAACGAGUACUAAUAGGCCGUGCGACUUGACCCC
rnacentral:rRNA from 1 species